UAGUGGCAGACGGGUGAGUAAUGUAUAGGAAUCUACCUAGUAGUACGGAAUAAUUGUUGGAAACGGCAACUAAUACCGUAUACGCCCUACGGGGGAAAAAUUUAUUGCUAUUAGAUGAGCCUAUAUUAGAUUAGCUAGUUGGUGGGGUAAUAGCCUACCAAGGCAAUGAUCUAUAGCUGAUCUGAGAGGAUGAUCAGCCACACUGGAACUGAGAUACGGUCCAGACUCCUACGGGAGGCAGCAGUGGGGAAUAUUGGACAAUGGGCGAAAGCCUGAUCCAGCCAUGCCGCAUGAGUGAAGAAGGCCUUCGGGUUGUAAAGCUCUUUUAGUGAGGAAGAUAAUGACGGUACUCACAGAAGAAGUCCUGGCUAACUCCGUGCCAGCAGCCGCGGUAAUACGGAGAGGGCUAGCGUUAUUCGGAAUUAUUGGGCGUAAAGGGCGCGUAGGCGGAUUAGUAAGUUAAAAGUGAAAUCCCAAGGCUCAACCUUGGAGUUGCUUUUAAAACUGCUAAUCUAGAGAUUGAAAGAGGAUAGAGGAAUUCCUAGUGUAGAGGUGAAAUUCGUAAAUAUUAGGAGGAACACCAGUGGCGAAGGCGUCUAUCUGGUUCAAAUCUGACGCUGAGGCGCGAAGGCGUGGGGAGCAAACAGGAUUAGAUACCCUGGUAGUCCACGCUGUAAACGAUGAAUGUUAAAUAUGGGGAGUUUACUUUCUGUAUUACAGCUAACGCGUUAAACAUUCCGCCUGGGGACUACGGUCGCAAGAUUAAAACUCAAAGGAAUUGACGGGGACCCGCACAAGCGGUGGAGCAUGUGGUUUAAUUCGAUGCAACGCGAAAAACCUUACCACUCCUUG
rnacentral:rRNA from 1 species